ACUAAAUAGAUACCCCGGUAGUCCAUGCCGUAAACUAUGGAUACUAGCUGUUGGGGGUAGUCGACCCCUCCCAGUAGCGAAAGCUAAACGCGUUAAGUAUCCCGCCUGUGGAGUACGAUCGCAAGAUUAAAAACAAUAAAGGAAUUGACGGGGACCCGGCACAAGCGGUGGAGCGUGUUCUUUAAUUCGAUGCUAAACGAAGAACCUUACCAGGGCUUGACAUCCCUUGAAUUACUCCGAAAGGAGUGAGUGCUUUAUUGAGCAAGGUGACAGGUGAUGCAUGGCCGUCGUCAGCUCGUGUCGUGAGAUGUUUGGUUAAAGUCCCAUCAACGAGCGCAACCCUUAUACUUAGUUGUAUUUUUCUAGGUAGACUGCCCC
rnacentral:rRNA from 1 species